rnacentral:rRNA from 1 species
UACGUAGGGCGCAAGCGUUUAUCCGGAAUUAUUGGGCGUAAAGAGCUCGUAGGCGGUUUGUCGCGUCUGCCGUGAAAGUCCGGGGGCUCAACUCCGGAUCUGCGGUGGGUACGGGCAGACUAGAGUGAUGUAGGGGGAGACUGGAAUUCCUGGUGUAGCGGUGAAAUGCGCAGAUAUCAGGAGGAACACCGAUGGCGAAGGCAGGUCUCUGGGCAUUAACUGACGCUGAGGAGCGAAAAGCAUGGGGGAGCGAACAGG